AUUGAACGCUGGCGGCAUGCCUUACACAUGCAAGUCGAACGGCAGCACGGGGCAACCUGGUGGCGAGUGGCGAACGGGUGAGUAAUGCAUCGGAACGUACCUUUCAGUGGGGGAUAACGUAGCGAAAGUUACGCUAAUACCGCAUAUUCUGUGAGCAGGAAAGCAGGGGAUCGCAAGACCUUGCGCUGAUUGAUCGGCCGAUGUCAGAUUAGCUAGUUGGUGAGGUAAAGGCUCACCAAGGCGACGAUCUGUAGCGGGUCUGAGAGGAUGAUCCGCCACGCUGGAACUGAGACGCGGUCCAGACUCCUACGGGAGGCAGCAGUGGGGAAUUUUGGACAAUGGGGGCAACCCUGAUCCAGCCAUGCCGCGUGAGUGAAGAAGGCCUUCGGGUUGUAAAGCUCUUUCGGCCGGGAAGAAAUCGCACGGGCUAAUACCCUGUGUGGAUGACGGUACCGGAAUAAGAAGCACCGGCUAACUACGUGCCAGCAGCCGCAGUAAAAC
rnacentral:rRNA from 1 species